rnacentral:rRNA from 1 species
GUGCCAGCAGCCGCGGUAAUACGUAGGUCCCGAGCGUUGUCCGGAUUUAUUGGGCGUAAAGCGAGCGCAGGCGGUUAGAUAAGUCUGAAGUUAAAGGCUGUGGCUUAACCAUAGUACGCUUUGGAAACUGUUUAACUUGAGUGCAAGAGGGGAGAGUGGAAUUCCAUGUGUAGCGGUGAAAUGCGUAGAUAUAUGGAGGAACACCGGUGGCGAAAGCGGCUCUCUGGCUUGUAACUGACGCUGAGGCUCGAAAGCGUGGGGAGCAAACAGGAUUAGA